ensembl:lncRNA
UGUGCAUUUUUCGUCUAAAGACUAAAUCAAAAAUAGCUGCCAAAAUGAACACUGGUCCACACCUUCCAGAACUCUGCAGCAGGCGAGUAUCCAGUUGCAGGCGGCCGGGGUCAGUCGAGGGCCGGCAGGCCGCCUUCUCACGCAAGCCAGCAGUUAUCCGUUGCGUCGGGGCCGACGACCUGCUGCCCAUCCUGUCUUUCGUGGCUCUGCGGUGCCAGUGUCCUCAGCUGGUGUCUGAAUGCGCCGCUCUGGAGGAGUUCAUUCACGAAGGCUAUUUGAUCGGAGAGGAAGGCUACUGUCUGACCUCCCUGCAGAGUGCCUUGGCCUACAUCGAGUCGUUGUGCACCGGAGGAGCUCCUCAUCCUGCGGACAACCCCUUCUGAGACAAGGCGGCUCAUCCCGACUCCCCCUCCCCCCCGAACCCUGCAGGCUGUGCGGGCGCGCGUCACCUGACCAGAGGGCCUCCUGGUGCUGUGCUCUUCUCACACUGCGAGGCCUUUUUGGGAGCCGGGUAGCACUGCACUGUUGCACGUCGUUCCCGGGAUCCGUCCCGGGAACCUCAGCGCUCGUCUUGCUCUUCUCCCCCGACGGGAAGAAGCCACACGAGCCGACGCCCCUUAUCGCUCUUCUUUUUUCUUUCUCAGUGUUCUAACCAAUUUGAAAGCGCCUCCAGCUGUGCGUGCGUGUGUUUUAAAGCUGGUGGCAAAAAAAUCCACCGAAAUACAAAAAUCAGAAUUCCUGCACUUUGGGUGUUGACGGCUCCAAUGGAGGAUCACUUUCAGUUUGCACAGAGACGCUGGCUGCAGACGGACUCGCCUCCAGAGAGCGACUAUAAGAU